CUGCUGCCUUCCGUAGGAGUCUGGUCCGUGUCUCAGUACCAGUGUGGGGGACCUUCCUCUCAGAACCCCUACGCAUCGUCGCCUUGGUGGGCCGUUACCCCGCCAACAAGCUAAUGCGACGCAUGACCAUCCGUAGCCGGAAUCGCUUCCUUUAAACCCACAGAGAUGCCUCCAUGGGUUGUUACGCGGUAUUAGACGGAAUUUCUUCCGCUUAUCCCCUGCUACGGGCAGGUUUCAUACGUGUUACUCACCCGUGCGCCGGUCGCCGG
rnacentral:rRNA from 1 species